AAUUUUCCGCAAUGGGCGAAAGCCUGACGGAGCAAGACCGCGUGAGGGAGGAAGGCUCUUGGGUUGUAAACCUCUUUUCUCAGGGAAGAAGCUCUGACGGUACCUGAGGAAUCAGCCUCGGCUAACUCCGUGCCAGCAGCCGCGGUAAUAUGGAGGAGGCAAGCGUUAUCCGGAAUUAUUGGGCGUAAAGCGUCCGCAGGUGGCGAUUCAAGUCUGCUGUCAAAGCACGGGGCUUAACUCCGUUAAGGCAGUGGAAACUGAAUAGCUAGAGUGCCGUAGGGGUAGAGGGAAUUCCCGGUGUAGCGGUGAAAUGCGUAGAGAUCGGGAAGAACAUCCGUGGCGAAAGCGCUCUACUGGACGGCAACUGACACUCAGGGACGAAAACUAGGGGAGCGAAUCGGAUUAGAUACCCCAGUAGUCCCACCUGUAAACGAUGGAUACUAGGUGUAGCGUGUAUCGACCCUAUCAGUGCCGCAGCUAACGCGCUAAGUAGCCCGCCUGG
rnacentral:rRNA from 1 species